CCUACGGGAGGCAGCAGUAGGGAAUAUUGCUCAAUGGGGGAAACCCUGAAGCAGCAACGCCGCGUGGAGGAUGAAGGUUUUCGGAUUGUAAACUCCUUUUGUUAGAGAAGAUAAUGACGGUAUCUAACGAAUAAGCACCGGCCAACUCCGUGCCAGCAGCCGCGGUAAUACGGUGGGUGCAAGCGUUACUCGGAAUCACUGGGCGUAAAGAGCGCGUAGGCGGGAUAGCAAGUCAGAUGUGAAAUCCUAUGGCUUAACCAUCGAACUGCAUUUGAUACUGUUAUUCUAGAGUAUGGGAGAGGUAAGUGGAAUUCUUGGUGUAGGGGUAAAAUGCGUAGAGAUCAAGAGGAAUACUCAUGGCGAAGGCGACCUGCUAGAACAUAACUGACGCUGAGGCGCGAAAGCGUGGGGAGCAAACAGGAUUAGAUACCCUGGUAGUC
rnacentral:rRNA from 1 species